rnacentral:rRNA from 1 species
UGGGGAAUCUUGGACAAUGGGGGCAACCCUGAUCCAGCCAUGCCGCGUGAGUGAUGAAGGCCCUAGGGUUGUAAAGCUCUUUCAACGGUGAAGAUAAUGACGGUAACCGUAGAAGAAGCCCCGGCUAACUCCGUGCCAGCAGCCGCGGUAAUACGGAGGGGGCUAGCGUUGUUCGGAAUUACUGGGCGUAAAGCGCGCGUAGGCGGAUUUGUCAGUCAGGGGUGAAAUCCCGGAGCUCAACUCCGGAACUGCCUCUGAUACUGCAAGUCUUGAGUUCUGGAGAGGUGAGUGGAAUUCCGAGUGUAGAGGUGAAAUUCGUAGAUAUUCGGAGGAACACCAGUGGCGAAGGCGGCUCACUGGCCAGACACUGACGCUGAGGCGCGAAAGCGUGGGGAGCAAACAGG